rnacentral:lncRNA from 1 species
CUUAAUCUUUCAAAUUAACUAUCAGUAAACAAUUUCAGCAAAUUGCAAACAAUGUCAGUGAAUGGAUAAAGAAAUUCAACAAAUUUAGCAAAUUUCAAACAAAAUCAGUAGAUGGUAAAGAUUUUCAACAAAUUCAACAAAUUUCGAACAGAAAUUCAGUGAGAAGCCAUAGCCAAGAAGUGAGAAGCCAUAGCCAAGAAAGUGGAGCAGGAGAUGAUUUUGAGAGAAAUUUCCCAGAAUCCAUUCUCAUUUCUUUGCAUCUCUCAAACCCCAUUUUUCAAACAAAUUCGACUCCAGUAGUAAAUGGAUUUCACCAACAAAUUUAAGAAAUUCCAAAAAUAAAUUUCAGCAACAAAUUUAGGAAAUUCCAGCAACAAAUUCAACAAAUCGAUUCCAACAACAAAUUUAGGAAAUCCGAGCAACAAAUUCAGGAAAUUCCAGCAACAAAUUCGAACAAAUUCAACAAAUCAAUUCUAGCAACAAAUUUAGAAAAUUCCAAACCAACGGAGGCAGAGCGCGACUAGGAGCGGAGCAGAGGAGGAGUCGGCGUCGCAGACAACGGCGAGAGCGAGUUCCAGUGGUGCGGAGCGGAGCGCGUCGACUGGGAGUGGAGCGGAGCGCGUCGUGCUCAGAGGAAGGCGGCGCCUUAGGGUUUCGAGCUCAGAGGGAGCGAGGCAACGAGAUAAGUGAGGCGGUGCUUUCAGACGAUGACGAAGAAGGAGAGAGACGC